CAACUCCGGUUCCCCUUCAAAUCGUAAAGAUCUUUCGCCUUUUACUAAAGAUUUCCGUGGAGGGGAGCACUUGAAGGAGUCUUGAUAAUAAUUUUUAUUUUGCCUGAUCGGUAUGGUCGG